rnacentral:rRNA from 1 species
AACGCGAAGAACCUUACCUGGGCUCGAAAUGUUAUGGACCGGAGUAGAAAUAUUCCUUCCCAGCAAUGGGCCGUAAUAUAGGUGCUGCAUGGCUGUCGUCAGCUCGUGUCGUGAGAUGUUGGGUUAAGUCCCGCAACGAGCGCAACCCUUAUCUUCAGUUGCUACCAUUUAGUUGAGCACUCUGACGAAACCGCCUCGGAUAACGGGGAGGAAGGUGGGGAUGACGUCAAGUCCUCAUGGCCUUUAUGUCCAGGGCUACACACGUGCUACAAUGGCCGGUACAAACCGUCGCAAACCCGUGAGGGGGAGCUAAUCGGAAAAAGCCGGCCUCAGUUCGGAUUAGAGUCUGCAACUCGACUCUAUGAAGCUGGAAUCGCUAGUAAUCGCGGAUCAGAAUGCCGCGGUGAAUACGUUCCCGGGCCUUGUA